UACGUAGGGUCCGAGCGUUGUCCGGAAUUAUUGGGCGUAAAGGGCUCGUAGGCGGUCUGUCGCGUCGGCUGUGAAAACCCGGGGCUCAACCCCGGGCCUGCAGUCGAUACGGGCAGACUAGAGUGCGGUAGGGGAGACUGGAAUUCCUGGUGUAGCGGUGAAAUGCGCAGAUAUCAGGAGGAACACCGGUGGCGAAGGCGGGUCUCUGGGCCGUAACUGACGCUGAGGAGCGAAAGCGUGGGGAGCGAACAGG
rnacentral:rRNA from 1 species